UGGUCAUCAAUUUUUUAAAUUUAAUUUAAUAUAUAUAUAUAUAUAUAUAUAAUUAUAUUAUAUUAUUAUUAUAGUUUUUAGGGGUAUAAAAUUGUUAAAUUAAUAUAUAUAAUUAUUAUUGUUUAUUCAUACUUUUAUUAAGUAUAACAUAAGAUUUUGUGAUAUCCACUAGUGUAAAUAUUUUAAAUUGAAGAUUGAAUUCAUUCGUUGUAUUCAUAUAGGGUCAAGGAGUGUAGCUGUAAAAAAAUCAUCAAAAUCAGAGUUAAAAUAACCGUUAAAUCGUGAUUUUUCGUUUUAUAACCGUCGAAAAGUUUUGUCCCGUUACUUGAUCUCUGAAUGUUUGUGUUUUGCAAUUUUUGGCGUAUGCGAUCUUGAAGUAUAUACAAACAUGUUUGACGGUUGGAUCGUUGAAACUAGUUUCGUAGAAUGCGUGUAUCUCAUCAAAACAAUAGAUUCACUAACACUUAAAAGUUUAUUCAUACUUUCAUUAAGUGUAACAUAAGAUUUUUUGGUAUCCACUAGUGUAAAAUAUUUUAAAUUGAAGAUCGAAUUCAAUCAUUGUAUUCAUAUAGGGUCAAGGAGUAUAGCUGCAAAAAAUCAUCAAAAUUGGAGUUAAAAUAACCAUUAAAUCGUGAUUUUUCUUUUUAUAACCGUCGAAAUGUUUUAUCCCAUUACUUGAUCUCUGAAUGUUUUUUUUUUUUGCAAUUUUUGGCGUAUGCGAUCUUGAAGUAUAUACAAACAUAUUUGAUGGUUGGAUCAUUGAAACUAGUUUCGUAGAUUGAGUAUCCCAUCAAAAUAAUAGAUUCACUAAUACUUAAGAGUUUAUUCAUACUUUCAUUAAGUAUAACAUAAGAUUUUGUGGUAUCCACUACUGUAAAUAUUUUAAAUUGAAGAUCGAAUUCAAUCAUUGUAUUCAUAUAGGGUCAAGGAGUGUAGCUGUAAAAAAUCAUCAAAAUCGGAGUUAAAAUAACCGUUAAAUCGUGAUUUUUCGUUUAUAACAGUCGAAAAGCUUUGUCCCAUUACUUGAUCUCUGAAUGUUUGUUUUUUUCAAUUUUUGGCGUAUGCGAUCUCGAAGUAUAUACAAACAUGUUUGACAGUUAGAUCAUUGAAACUAGUUUUGUAGAAUGAGUAUCCCAUCAAAACAAUAGAUUCACUAAUACUUAAGAGUUUAUUCCUCCACUAGUGUAAAUAUUUUAAAUUGAAGAUCGAAUUCAUUCAUUGUAUUCAUAUAGGAUUAAGGAGUGUAGCUAUAAAAAAUAAUCAAAAUCGGAGUUAAAAUAACCAUUAAAUCUUGAUUUUUCAUUUUAUAACCGUAAAAAAGUUUUGUCCCAUUACUUGAUCUCUGAAUGUUUGUUUUUUACAAUUUUUGGCAUAUGCGAUCUCGAAGUAUGUAAAAACAUGUUUGACGGUUGGAUCGUUGAAACUAGUUUCAUAGAAUGCGUGUAUCUCAUCAAAACCAUAGAUUCACUAACACUUAAAAGUUUAUUCAUACUUUCAUUAAGUAUAACAUAAGAUUUUUUGGUAUCCACUAGUGUAAAUAUUUUAAAUUGAAGAUCGAAUUCAAUCAUUGUAUUCAUAUAGGGUGAAGGAGUCUAGUUGCAAAAAAUCAUCGAAAUCGGAGUUAAAAUGACCGUUAAAUCGUGAUUUUUCUUUUUAUAACCAUCGAAACAUUUUGUCUCGUAACUUGAUCUCUGAAUGUUUGUUUUUUGCAAUUUUUGGUGUAUGCGAUCUCAAAAUAAUCAAAAUCGGAGUUAAAACAACCGUUAAAUCGUGAUUUUUCGUUUAUAACCGUCAAAAAGUUUUGUCCUGUUACUUGAUCUCUGAAUGUUUGUUUUUUUGCAAUUUUUGGUGUAUGCGAUCUCGAAGUAUAUACAAACAUGUUUGACGGUUGGAUCAUUGAAACUAGUUUCGUAGAAUGAGUAUCCCAUCAAAAUAAUAGAUUCAUUAAUACUUAAGAGUUUAUUCAUACUUACAUUAAGUAUAACAUAAAAUUUUGUGGUAUCCACUAGUGUAAAUAUUUUAAAUUGAAGAUCGAAUUCAUUCAUUGUAUUCAUAUAAGGUCAAGGAGUGUAGCGGUAAAAAAUAAUCAAAAUCGGAGUUAAAAUAACCGUUAAAUCGUGAUUUUUCGUUUAUAACCGUCGAAAAGUUUUGUCCUGUUACUUGAUCUCUGAAUGUUUGUUUUUUUGCAAUUUUUGGUGUAUGCGAUCUCGAAGUAUAUACAAACAUGUUUGACGGUUGGAUCAUUGAAACUAGUUUCGUAGAAUGAGUAUCCCAUCAAAACAAUAAAUUCACUAAUACUUAAGAGUUUAUUCAUACUUUCAUUAAGUAUAACAUAAGAUUUUGUGAUAUCCACUAGUGUAAAUAUUUUAAAUUGAAGAUCGAAUUCAUUCAUUGUAUUCAUAUAGGAUUAAGGAGUGCAGCUAUAAAAAAUAAUCAAAAUCGGAGUUAAAAUAACCGUUAAAUCGUGAUUUUUCGUUUUAUAUCCAUCGAAAAGUUUUGUUCGGUUACUUGAUCUCUGAAUGUUUGCUUUUUGCGAUUUUUUGCUGAUAUGAUCUCGAAGCAUAUACAAACAAGUUUGACGGUUGCAUCGUUGAAAUUAGUUUCGUAUAACUCGUAUCCCAUCAAGUUCAAUGGUGUGUGUGUGUGUGUGUGUAUAUUAAGUAGAUUUAAUUCUAUUUAUUUUGUACGUAUAAUUGACCGGUACACGGAGUAGAACAUCACGUGUCAUUAUAAAAAUAGUGGGAUAUGUCAUAUGUGUGUUAAAAAGUUAAUAACUUAAAAAAAAAAAUUUUCUCACCACUUUUAUUAAUUUUCAUUUUUCCCUCUCAUUUUUGUUUCCUUUUCAGCUUUUCAUAUAAUUUUUAUUUUUCCCUCCGUUCUUUUUCUUCAAAGAGGGGCAGCCUACCCAUCUUUCCCUCUCUUUUUUGUUUCAUUUUCAGCUUUUCUUAUAAUUUUUAUUUUCCCUCCCUUUUUCUUCAAAGGGCCGCAGAAAUGGAAUGGAAUUAUGGAAUCAAUGG
rnacentral:lncRNA from 1 species